CGCGCUUUUGUCCCGCUGGCGGCCGGGUUCCCGCGGCGCCGCCACAGCCAGUGUGAAUAGAGACCCCGGAGGUGCGUCCUAGCCCUCAUCUGGGGAAGCGCACCUGCAUACAGACGGGUGCACCGGGGAGGAGGCGACCUGCCGCGUGUUCCUGCAAGCAGAAAAGGAGUUAACUAGUGUCACAUUUGAAGACGAGCACUGAGGAUGAGGAACCAACUGAAGAAUAUGAAAAUGUUGGAAAUGCAGCAUCUAAGUGGCCAAAAGUGGAGGAUCCUAUGCCUGAAUCUAAGUUUCAGAUGAACUCCCAUAAUGAAUGAUGAAUUUGUGAUGAGGGAUAACCUGGAAGUGGUAUUCACACAUUAUGCUACAAUAAAAGGUUCUACCGUGGAGAGGAUUUUGACACAUUCAGUAACUAAUGGAACACACCGUCAACAUGAAUUCGCACCUUACAUGACAGAAGUGAUUCAGGGAUUCCUAUGAAUAGAAAUGCUGAGAAGGAACGCAUUUUAUUGCAGAAGCUAAAAAGCUAAAGUACCAGUCAUCUAGAGAGAAGGAAAUUAAUGUUUCUUAAUAAUCCUGUUAAAUGUUUGAUUGUUUUUGGAAUGUGUUAUUGUAAAGAUGUCAUGCAGGACAUGUAUAUGUUGUCUGUUGUAAAAUGUUAACGAAUACUUUGUUCAGGGCUCACUCUCUCUUUGUCAUGAAAGCCAGCUCCUUGUGGCGAGGUAAAGUGGAAUUCCAAUAAAGAAAUUCCUUAAAUC
rnacentral:lncRNA from 1 species